rnacentral:rRNA from 1 species
CAGCCGCCGCGGUAAUACGGAGGGUGCAAGCGUUAAUCGAAAUUACUGGGCGUAAAGCGCACGCAGGCGGUCUGACAAGUCAGAUGUGAAAUCCCCGGGCUUAACCUGGGAACUGCAUUUGAAACUGUCAGGCUGGAGUCUUGUAGAGGGGGGUGGAAUUCCAGGUGUAGCGGUGAAAUGCGUAGAGAUCUGGAGGAAUACCGGUGGCGAAGGCGGCCCCCUGGACAAAGACUGACGCUCAGGUGCGAAAGCGUGGGGAGCAAACAGGAUUAGAGACCCCUGUAGUCCCUGUCUCUUAUAA